AACGAACGCUGGCGGCAUGCCUAACACAUGCAAGUCGAACGAAGUCUUCGGACUUAGUGGCGCACGGGUGCGUAACGCGUGGGAAUCUGCCCUUGGGUGCGGAAUAACUUCUCGAAAGGGAUGCUAAUACCGCAUAAUGUCGUAAGACCAAAGAUUUAUCGCCCAAGGAUGAGCCCGCGUAAGAUUAGCUAGUUGGUGAGGUAACGGCUCACCAAGGCUACGAUCGGUAGCUGGUCUGAGAGGAUGAUCAGCCACAUUGGGACUGAGACACGGCCCAAACUCCUACGGGAGGCAGCAGUGGGGAAUAUUGGGACAAUGGGCGCAAGCCUGAUCCAGCCAUGCCGCGUGAGUGAUGAAGGCCUUAGGGUUGUAAAGCUCUUUUGUCCGGGAAGAUAAUGACUGUACCGGAAGAAUAAGCCCCGGCUAACUUCGUGCCAGCAGCCGCGGUAAU
rnacentral:rRNA from 1 species